rnacentral:rRNA from 1 species
GACGAACGCUGGCGGCGUGCUUAACACAUGCAAGUCGAGCGGAGCGGCGAACGGGUGAGUAACGCGUGAGUAACUGCCCCCCUCUCUGGGAUAACAGUUGGAAACGGCUACUAAUACCGGAUAGUGGGGGAUGACUCGCGUCCUAUCAGCUUCUUGGUGGGGUAGUGGCCUACCAAGGCGACGACGGGUAGCCGGCCUGAGAGGGCGACCGGCCACAAUGGGCUGCGAUACGGCCCAAUAGCGUACGGGAGGCAGCAGUGGGGAAUAUGGCACAACGGGGGAAACCGUGAUGUAGCAACGCCGCGUGCGGGAUGACGGCCUUCGGGUGGUAAACAGCUUUCAGCCAUGACGCGGUAGUGGCAGAAGAAGCACCGGCUAACUACGUGCCAGCAGCCGCGGUAAUAC